rnacentral:ribozyme from 14 species
UGCUAAAACAACGUUGGAAGAAGAAGAAAAAAAAAAAAAAAACUUCUGUCCUUCCAAAAAAAAAAAAGAACCACCCUUCUCUCUCUCUUUUCUCUCUGUCUCCCUUCAUCCUCAUCGUUCU